rnacentral:rRNA from 1 species
GAUGAACGUUGGCGGCGUGCUUAACACAUGCAAGUCGAACGAUGAUGCCCAGCUUGCUGGGUGGAUUAGUGGCGAACGGGUGAGUAACACGUGAGCAACCUGCCCCUGACUCUGGGAUAAGCGCUGGAAACGGCGUCUAAUACUGGAUACGAACAAGAAUCGCAUGGUUACUUGUUGGAAAGAUUUUUUGGUUGGGGAUGGGCUCGCGGCCUAUCAGCUUGUUGGUGAGGUAAUGGCUCACCAAGGCGUCGACGGGUAGCCGGCCUGAGAGGGUGACCGGCCACACUGGGACUGAGACACGGCCCAGACUCCUACGGGAGGCAGCAGUGGGGAAUAUUGCACAAUGGGCGGAAGCCUGAUGCAGCAACGCCGCGUGAGGGAUGACGGCCUUCGGGUUGUAAACCUCUUUUAGCAGGGAAGAAGCGAGAGUGACGGUACCUGCAGAAAAAGCGCCGGCUAACUACGUGCCAGCAGCCGCGGUAAUACGUAGGGCGCAAGCGUUAUCCGGAAUUAUUGGGCGUAAAGAGCUCGUAGGCGGUUUGUCGCGUCUGCUGUGAAAUCCCGAGGCUCAACCUCGGGCCUGCAGUGGGUACGGGCAGACUAGAGUGCGGUAGGGGAGAUUGGAAUUCCUGGUGUAGCGGUGGAAUGCGCAGAUAUCGGGAGGAACACCGAUGGCGAAGGCAGAUCUCUGGGCCGUAACUGACGCUGAGGAGCGAAAGGGUGGGGAGCGAACAGGCUUAGAUACCCUGGUAGUCCACCCCGUAAACGUUGGGAACUAGUUGUGGGGUCCAUUCCACGGAUUCCGUGACGCAGCUAACGCAUUAAGUUCCCCGCCUGGGGAGUACGGUCGCAAGGCUAAAACUCAAAGGAAUUGACGGGGACCCGCACAAGCGGCGGAGCAUGCGGAUUAAUUCGAUGCAACGCGAAGAACCUUACCAAGGCUUGACAUAUACGAGAACGGGCCAGAAAUGGUCAACUCUUUGGACACUCGUAAACAGGUGGUGCGUGGUUGUCGUCAGCUCGUGUCGUGAGAUGUUGGGUUAAGUCCCGCAACGAGCGCAACCCUCGUUCUAUGUUGCCAGCACGUAAUGGUGGGAACUCAUGGGAUACUGCCGGGGUCAACUCGGAGGAAGGUGGGGAUGACGUCAAAUCAUCAUGCCCCUUAUGUCUUGGGCUUCACGCAUGCUACAAUGGCCGGUACAAUGGGCAGCGAUACCGUGAGGUGGAGCGAAUCCCAAAAAGCCGGUCCCAGUUCGGAUUGAGGUCUGCAACUCGACCUCAUGAAGUCGGAGUCGCUAGUAAUCGCAGAUCAGCAACGCUGCGGUGAACACGUUCCCGGGUCU